rnacentral:lncRNA from 1 species
UAUUAUAUUAGCAGAUGGAGCUUGGUCUAGUGGUUGUUGUGUGUGCAUGGGAGGUGGUGUGUUUUUGAUCUUAAGUUCAAACCCUCCUAAGAACAAAAAGGCUCCUAGCUCUUUUAAAUUUCCCCCUCUGCCAUGUGGGUCCCAGUAAGUAUAUGAUGUGUAUCUUGUUUUAUCAUGUAUACUUUUUACACGUUUUUGGGAACACUUAUCUAC